GUGUGUGUGUGUGUGUGUGUGUGUGUGUGUGUGUGUGUGUGUGUGCGUGCGUGCGUGCGUGCGUGCAUGUGUGUGUCUGUGUGUAUUUACCUAGUUAUGUUUUAUAGGAAAAGAGCUAUGCUCAUGCUGUCCUCUCUAUAUACCUAUAGUGGUCCAGUUUAGCCUCAAAGUCAUGAAUAUUUAUUGCUUGAACUACUGUUUCACCAAAACUGUUCCAUAUUUCUAUGCUUCUGUUUGGUUAAUUAUGUUUUGUAAUGUCUCUCCUAUAUGUUUUUUUUUUUUUUUUUCAUGCCGUGUCCCCUUGUAUUUCUUGAGUCUCACACCACUAAGUCUUCUUGGUCAAUUGUGUCCAUCCUCUUCCAUGCACUGUAUAUAGCAGUUAGGUCUCCUCUUUCUCUGCUCUGUGUAUUUACUUAGUUAUAUUAACCUGGUUGUGAAAUACAGGAUAGGCCACAAUAUACUAUGUCCAUACUGUCCCAUCUCCAUAUUGACUAUUAUCUAAAUUUUCUUUUAACCCUUUUAGUAUUGGCAUGCAUUUUUUACUAAGAGUUUUGGCUAUGAUUAGACCAUUUUACUGACAUUAGGAAGGGCCUAAAGAGGUCAGAAGUUUCAUGGCCAGUCUUCACUAUUUUAAUCCUCACAUAAGUUUCUGUGGCUGUAUAAAAUCACCAAAUAGUAAGCAGAAUGAAUAUGGAAAUGCUUCAUGGUACUGAAGGAGUUAAAUUCAUCAAGAAAUUCAUUCCAUACUAUUACUAUAUAUACUUCUAUAAGGAUAACUAUGUUUCUUGAUGUCUCUCCAGCAAAUACCCCUUUUCAAUUUAUUUUCAUAUCAUCUGGUACCUCUCAUAUCUGGUAUCAACUUCUCUGUCUCUUCCAAUAUCCUACAUAAUAAAUCAAAUCACCUCUUUUCCUUCAUAAGUAUACCAUCUUUGGUUUGUGGGGAUUUUAGUUGCAGCCCUCUGAAUUCUUUCUAGCUUCCUCAUAAACUUCUUCUAACUUGGUGAUUAAUGCUGAAUACUCCAAUCUUGGAUGUGUUCUUUUUGUCAUAUUUUCAUCAAUAUAGGUGAGUGAAGUCAUAUUUUCCUGCUUCUCAGCAUAUCAUAUGUUUCUCCAAUGAUUUUAUUAAUGUAUUUCUCAAAUAACAGUUUAUUAGAAAUGGAUACUCUCAGAUUUUCUUCUAUUCUUAUAAAAAUUUCUUCAUUUCCCAAAUAGUAAUUGCCUUCUGUUCUCAACAUCUUAAUGAGCAUCAUCAUCAGAGAUUCCUGUAGCUUGUUACACCUUCCUUUCUAUUGUCUACAUAUUUGUAUGUAUUGCAAACAAAACUGGCACUAGAACCAAUCCUUGUGAAACUCCACUACUCGCCCAAGUGACUGCACCUAAUUGCCACUCCAUUUCAACUUAUUGCUCCUGAAUAGUCCUCUUUUCUCUGUCCCUCAAAAAGUCAGUCAUCUAUUUUAAUAGUGAUCUUUCCAAUCCUCCAAUAUUUUCUAAUUUCCAUAUUAAUAAUUUGUACAGUACUUUAUCACUUUUUUUUUUCUUUUUGUCCAAUUAUACAUAUGCAGGCAGCACAAUGUCUAUUACUUAUGAGUUGAAGCUUAUCAGAUUUGUUACACAAGAUCUUCCUUCUCUGAAUCCAAAUUGCCUCUCAGUAAGUAUAUUGUUUGCCAGAUAUUUCACCCACCUGUUUUUGAUGAUCAUUUACAAAUCAAAUUUUUACUAUGACACUUGUCAGCAAUACUCACUGAUCUUUAGUUUAUAUAGCUUAGUCUAUAGUUAUUUGUACCAAAGUUUUUUUUUUCCAACACUUUGUUUGCCCUUGGCCAGUGCCCUUGUAAUGUAAAAAAAAAAAACUAGAAAUGCUUCUAAAGAUGUGAUCUACAACUUGAGCAUAAUAGUAUUGUGUAGUGUAAGAGUUCUCAACUUGGGGUUUGUGAACCCCCAGAGUUUCACAAGAUUUCCAAAAGUACUUUGAUGGCUGAUCCAAUAAUAUCCUUUGCAGUACCAUUGCAUAUUGAGUUAGUGUCAGUCACUAAAUUAACAUUCUGUUUGAUGGCAGCUUUCUCGGGUGGGGCUUCGGGUAAAUGGUUUUAUAACUUAAGGGAUUCUUAACAAGAAAAGGUUGAAAACCCCCACUGUAUUGUAUUAAACUACACUCUAACCUGUGGGGAUUUUGUUUACUAGACUACACUCUAACCUGUGGGGAUUUUGUUUACUAGACUACACUCUAACCUGUGGGGAUUUUGUUUACUAGAGACAAUAAAAGUACUCACCAAUUAUGAAGUGCUUCCAACAGACCCUCAAGAUUUCAGCACCUGCCACUCAGACUCCGGAGACCUCACCCACAGUACCCAGUAACCACAGUCAGACGUCCAUGAACAUUGGAGUGCCUCCGGUGUACGCUUGUACCUUUUAGGCCGUAUUCAGAAAAGCCUUCUUUUCUCAUUAUAAUUUUCCAAGACCACAGAUACAACAAGCUGGACUUUCAAGACAGUUUCUCCUUUAAAUAAACCAAGAAUCUUGCCAAUAUAUCACCAAAACCAUAAAAAUACUCUUCAAGACACAAGCAUCUUGAACUGGAGCCUCUGGAAAUCACGGAUGGUGAGAGAGCAGUGUUUAAGAAUACGUGCCUUUGUCUUGCGGCUUCAGUAUCAGGUACAAGCUGAAGGACGUUCGUUCACCCCCGGAACUCGGGGUCGGCGCAUGCUGUGCUUGAAGAUGUCGGAAGUGGGCCGGCUAUCUGAAGGUAGCCGAAGAGUUACCAUGGAGGAAUUAGCCUCUACCUCUCACCCCGUGGUCGGCAGAGCAGUGGAGGUCAUGAUGUCUCAGCCUCAGAAGUUUAAUGGAACUGCUAAUGACUUUAUAGAUUGGUUCAAAGGCAAAAAAUUUGAAAAGGUUGUACUUCCUGGCAACAAGACAUGGAUCCCAAAGCAACCCUCAUCAGAAGAGUAUUUCCUACCUCCUGUGGCAGAAUCAGUUCGACAAGAACAGGGAAAGGCAUAUGCGCUCCAUUACCAAGAAGAGUUCCUUCGUGAUGUGGAGAUAAGUAUUGAACAGCGGAUCAGAAAACGGACUCAUGCAGUUUCUAAAACUUUGAAUGAUGAUGACUCUGUAUCUGAAGGAAAUACUGGAGAUGCUGGGAAGGCACAUGUUUUCCUACAUUAUGACUUUACUACCAAAAGACGAGAAUCAUCACUACCAAUUUUCAGUGUCGAAAAAGAAAUACUGGAGAAAAUUACCUACUAUCAAGUGGUUGUUAUUGAGGGAGAAACUGGAUGUGGCAAAUCAACUCAGGUUCCCCAGUUUAUUCUUGAUGAAGCUGCAGACAAACAUCAGUAUUGCAAUAUUAUUGUCACUCAACCUCGCAGGAUUGCUGCAACAUCCUUGGCACGUAGAGUGUGUAAAGAAAGAGGCUGGCAGCUUGGAAAGCUUGUUGGGUACCAGGUUGGAUUGGACUCUUGUAAAGAUAAAGACACCCGUCUUCUUUAUGUAACUACCGAGACUUUGGUGCAGAAACUUGUCCAUCAACGCAAGCUUGAUGCCUUUACACACAUCAUUCUUGAUGAAGUACAUGAAAGAGACCACCAUACUGAUUUUGCCCUGCUGAUCAUCAAGAAGCUCAUGCACACAGUUUCUCCUUCUGUUAAGAUCAUACUGAUGUCAGCCACAAUCAAUGCUUCCAAGUUUGCUCAGUAUUUUGCCACUCCAGUCCUGGGCACCCUUCUUCCUGCACCUGUUGUGUCUGCAGGAGAUGAAACUGUGCAUGCUGUGCAGACAUACUAUUUGGACUCUCUUUUUAAUAUGUGCCAAAAAAAGCCUGAUGUGUUGCCUUGCCUUCCCACAAUUGAUCCUGAUAAUCCAGGAGUGUCAGAAGAAAUGUUUAAGCUUGCCGUUGAGAUGGUGAAGUGUUUUGAUGAUUUAGAGAGACAAGAACAUGAAAUCAGCUCCAAAGAAUUCUUCCAAAAUAGAGGAGCAGUCCUUGUGUUUCUUCCAGGUUUGGCAGAAAUUGAGCAGCUUGUGAAUAUGUUGGCUAAAGAAGCUUCAAAAUAUCAGUGGCAGCUCUACCCCCUACAUUCGACCAUUACUAAAGAAGAACAGCAAAAUGUCUUCCUUGUACCCCCGCCCGGUUUUCGGAAAAUCAUAAUUUCUACAAAUAUUGCUGAGAGUUCUAUAACAGUACAAGACAUAAAAUAUGUGAUUGAUUUCUGCCUAACUAAAGUGCUGACUUGUGAUGAGAUAACCAACUACACUUCAUUGAAGCUUGCCUGGACAUCCAAAGCUUCAUGCAAACAGAGAGCAGGGAGGUGUGGGCGAGUGUCCUCAGGCAGAGUAUACUGCCUAGUUCCUAAACAAUUUUAUGAGACUUUGCCAGACUAUGCCUCACCGGAGAUGUGCCACACUCCUCUUACCCAGGUGAUACUGAAGGCCAAAGUGCUUGACAUGGGUGAGCCUCAUUCCAUCUUAGCUUUGGCUCUGGAUCCUCCUGACAUGGGUGACAUUUGUCGUACAAUCUUGAUUCUGAAGCAGAUGGGAGCUUUAUCGGUCACAGCAAGUGGAUGCAGAUCUCAUCUUGAUGGUGAUAUGACAUACUUAGGGAAGGUCAUAGUUCACCUGCCAAUAGAUCCAUAUCUGGCAAAGUUGAUUGUAAUGGGUCACAUCAUGGGUUGCCUCAGAGAGUGUAUUAUCAUUGCUGCAAGCUUGUCUUUGAAACCCUUCCAUGCUCGACCUUUCCAAGAUGAACUCAAUGCCUUCCUCUCCAAAGUAUCUUGGGCAUAUGGAUCUUUCUCAGACUGUCUGGCUGUUCUCAAUACCUAUGAUGUUUGGCAGGGUAUGCAGAGCAGAGGUGAAUUUCUUCUACCUGGUGGCAAGGCUGAAAAAGAAUGGGCAAAGCAUAGCUAUGUACAACUGAGCACUCUUCAAGAUGUGCACAAGCUAGUGGAAGAGCUUACAGAACGUCUCAAGAAGCUGAAAAUUGUUGUUCAGGCCCAUCGCAGCACUCCAAGAAAGGAUCAAACGCUUAUAUUGAAGAUGUGUAUGGCUGCAGCUUUCUUCCCAAAUUACUACAGAAGAACUGUGCCUGAAGAUUAUCAGCGCGAGGUGUGUAGAGAGCUCAGGGGAAAUGAUCCCUUCAGAACAGUUAUUCUCAGAGGCCUUCCUGCAGCAACAAAUAUCAUCUAUGAUCAACAGAUUAGAAAUUUAUUUAAAGAAUGCUCUCAGAAUCUUGUCAUCAGCUAUGAAGGAGCUAAGGCAUACAUUCAAUUCCCAAAUCUGGAUGGUUCUCGUGUGAAAGAGGAACACUUCCAGAGCAUUCCUGGAAGCUGUCCCACUACCAUGCAUCUAGCUUUGAAGAUGAAACAGGUGCCAAGGAUCAACCAAAACUUAUACAUAACUCUGAUAAGUCCAGAGGAAUCUGAACAGCAACUUCAAGGAAUUCUGGGUCACAGCAGUGACCAAUACAGUACUACUCAACUAUUGGGUUCUGAGAGCUCAAAGGCUCCAAGACAAACCCUAGGAAACCUUGCUGUUAGAGUCACACAGCCAACCAGCAAUUGCCUGAAGCCCCCAGAGUUACCCCAUGCUGCAAACCACACUUGGGAUAUUUAUGUUACCCAUGUGGUUUCAGCUGGACACUUUUGGGUAAUUUCAAGUGAGAGCAGCAACCUCAAUAACCUGAAGUAUAUGGAGGAAAUCAUCAUGGCUUCAGUACAGGAAUUCACUCCAGUAUUACUUCCUGUGGUAACUCCUGGAUUUGUCUGUCUUGCUCCAUUUACAGAUGUUCAAGGGAUGCAAGCUUACUAUAGAGCCAGACUAGAGGAUGUAUUUCCUUCACAUGAUAAAAAACUCAAGACAAUGGUUUUCUUUGUGGAUUAUGGAAAUAGUGAAAUUGUAGAUGCUUCAGAUUUAAGACUCCUGCCGAAAAGACUUCGAGAAAUAAAGAUGUUGGCAGUGGAAUGUAUGCUGGCAGAGGUGAAACCAAUUGCUAAAUAUUCAGAUGGAUCAUGGAGUCCAGAUGCUACUAAAUGGCUUCAAAAGUAUGCUCUCAAUAAGAAAUUCACUGUUCAGAUAUAUAGUGUUGUAAAUGGAGUGCUUCGAGUGAAACUGCUAGGAAGGGAAAAUGGCAAGUUUAUCUCUAUCAAUCAAAAACUUAUCUCUAUGGGACAUGCUGUCAAGGCAGAGGAAUUCUAUCUGUCAAAGCAAAAUCAUGAACUGAGAGCAAUAUACAGCAGUGAAAUAGAGGUCCCAGAACAUGAUGAAAAUAUUAAUACAUCAGCUCUUUCAUCUUACUCAUUCAACCAAUCAAGCUCUGAUUUAGAAUGUUCUACAAAGGUAAAACUCAGAGGCCCUGACUCUCCUCUGCUUUUAAGGUUUGUUGCCCUGACACCGAGUGCAAGCUCUAAGUUAGUGAGAGUGGAAACUUCUUCAGUAAACUCAACAGCCCUUGAUCUCGAGCCACAAAAUCCCCAUGAAAGACUUCUUAUUGCUGGGAAUGUGACUUUGAACCAAUCAGCUUCCACAGCAACCCUUCACAAUACGACCCUCAUGCCUUCUAUCCCAGGAAUGCUGCCAAUAUGUAUCCUCUUGUUCUGUCCAGUGGCAGAAAUGAGAGUAAACAGGACAGGAUCCCAUUACACUGGUGUACUGGUUGGUUUAGGAUGUGAUGAAAGAACAGGCCAGGUGAUUUAUCCUGCUGAUGAUAUUGAAGUUGCAUUUGAUAUUGACAUCACACAAGAAGAUCUGAUGUUGAUAAACAAGAUUAGAUUUUUGCUCAAUGUUGUGCUGGAGGAGGCUGAGUAUAUAUCAGGAGCUACUUUAAUCUCAACCCAAAAGAAUCUACACAAACUUAUCCUCAGGUCAGUGAGCUCAUUUUGACCUGGAAGUUGUAGUUCUGGAGACUUUAAGGCGAUCGUUCGGUGAGGUUUUUGAAAAAUCGAAAAUAAAGAGGUUACUGGAUGAGAAAAGGGGAUACAAAGAACCAGAGCCAUAUCAUUUUCCUUAUCGCUGGAACAAG
rnacentral:misc_RNA from 1 species